UGGUGGAAACUAGUCAUUACAUCUUCCACCUCCAGACAGUGAAUAACAUUGAACCACAUUAACAACACAUUGACUUUGCCUGAUACUUGAUAUUAGAUUGAAUAAUCUGACUGUGACUAUUGAUAUCUCAUUGACAUUUCCUCUCUAUGUUCUGCUCUCAUCAACACCACCUGUUUCUCUGUCUAAUGUUGUCCUCCCUCCUCCCUCCCUCUGAGAUGGUAGAAACCCAGAGGUACAGUACAGUAGAGACGAGCUAAAUGUAGCAUCACUGUUACAUUAUGCCUGAGUACUGUCUCUGGGUGUUCUAGGUGAUGUGAUGUUCUCUGGUGUUGUCUCUGGGUGUUCUAGGUGAUGUGAUGUUCUCUGGUGUUGCUCUGGGUGUUCUAGGUGAUGUGAUGUUCUCUGGUGUUGCUCUGGGUGUUCUAGGUGUUGUGAUGUUCUCUGGUGUUGUUCUGGGUAUUCUAGGUGUUGUGAUGUUCUCUGGUGUUGUUCUGGGUGUUGUUCUACUACUGCUGGGUCUGCUGCUGUUCAUGUUCUUCAGACAGAGGAGAGACAGAGACAGGAGACCAACAGCAUCCAAACACUCUGCCAGCCUGUUGGUGCCUGACUCCAUGACAACCAACCUAGAUCCAGACACAGGAACCAUCACUAACCCCAUCUACGCCACUACAACCAAUCAGAACCCAGAUACAGCCUGUGACAUCACCACCAUCUAUACCAACGCAACCAAUCCUCGUCGAGAUGACAUCCACUUCAACUUUGGUCCGUCCACAGAGGUUUCAGACAAUGUGACCUACGCUACUGUCAACUUCCCCAGAGAUCCAGCCUGUCUCCACUAUGCUACUGUCAACUUCCCCUGACAUCCAGCCUGUCUCCACUAUGCUACUGUCAACUUCCCCAGAGAUCCAGCCUGUCUCCACUAUGCUACUGUCAACUUCCCCAGAGAUCCAGCCUGUCUCCACUAUACUACUGUCAACUUCCCCAGAGAUCCAGCCUGACUCCACUAUACUACUGUCAACUUCCCCAGAGAUCCAGCCUGACUCCACUAUACUACUGUCAACUUCCCCAGAGAUCCAGCCUGUCUCCACUAUGCUACUGUCAACUUCCCCAGAGAUCCAGCCUGUCUCCACUAUGCUACUGUCAACUUCCCCAGAGAUCCAGCCUGUCUCCACUAUGCUACUGUCAACUUCCCCAGAGAUCCAGCCUGUCUCCACUAUGCUACUGUCAACUUCCCCAGAGAUCCAGCCUGUCUUCACUAUACUACUGUCAACUUCCCCAGAGAUCCAGCCUGUCUCCACUAUACUACUGUCAACUUCCCCAGAGAUCCAGCCUGACUCCACUAUACUACUGUCAACUUCCCCAGAGAUCCAGCCUGGCUCCACUAUGAUACUGUCAACUUCCCCAGAGAUCCAGCCUGUCUCCACUAUGCUACUGUCAAAUUCCCAAUAGAUCCAGCCUGUCUCCACUAUGCUACUGUCAACUUCCCCAGAGAUCCAGCCUGACUCCACUAUGCUACUGUCUCCUUCAGUAAAGACUCUGAUGCUAGUAACCACCUAGACACUGACCCAACAGCUGUAGACACCUCAUAAUGUACUGCACCAUUAAACACUCUGCUACAUAGUCUACUACUGUAGACACCUCAUAAUGUACUGCACCAUUAAACACUCUGCUACAUAGUCUACUACUGUAGACACCUCAUAAUGUACUGCACCAUUAAACACUCUGCUACAUAGUCUACUACUGUAGACACCUCAUAAUGUACUGCACCAUUAAACACUCUGCUACAUAGUCUACUACUGUAGACACCUCAUAAUGUACUGCACCAUUAAACACUCUGCUACAUAGUCUACUACUGUAGACACCUCAUAAUGUACUGCACCAUUAAACACUCUGUUACAUAGUCUACUACUGUAGACACCUCAUAAUGUACUGCACCAUUAAACACUCUGCUACAUAGUCUACUACUGUAGACACCUCAUAAUGUACUGCACCAUUAAACACUGCUACAUAGUCUACUACUGUAGACACCUCAUAAUGCACUGCACCAUUAAACACUCUGCUACAUAGUCUACUACUGUAGACACCUCAUAAUGUACUGCACCAUUAAACACUCUGCUACAUAGUCUACUACUGUAGACACCUCAUAAUGUACUGCACCAUUAAACACUCUGCUACAUAGUCUACUACUGUAGACACCUCAUAAUGUACUGCACCAUUAAACACUCUGCUACAUAGUCUACUACUGUAGACACCUCAUAAUGUACUGCACCAUUAAACACUCUGCUACAUAGUCUACUACUGUAGACACCUCAUAAUGUACUGCACCAUUAAACACUCUGCUACAUAGUCUACUACUGUAGACACCUCAUAAUGUACUGCACCAUUAAACACUCUGCUACAUAGUCUACUACUGUAGACACCUCAUAAUGUACUGCACCAUUAAACACUCUGCUACAUAGUCUACUACUGUAGACACCUCAUAAUGUACUGCACCAUUAAACACUCUGUUACAUAGUCUACUACUGUAGACACCUCAUAAUGUACUGCACCAUUAAACACUCUGCUACAUAGUCUACUACUGUAGACACCUCAUAAUGUACUGCACCAUUAAACACUCUGCUACAUAGUCUACUACUGUAGACACCUCAUAAUGUACCUCACCAUUAAACACUCUGCUACAUAGUCUACUACUGUAGACACCUCAUAAUGUACUGCACCAUUAAACACUCUGCUACAUAGUCUACUACUGUAGACACCUCAUAAUGUACUGCACCAUUAAACACUGCUACAUAGUCUACUACUGUAGACACCUCAUAAUGCACUGCACCAUUAAACACUCUGCUACAUAGUCUACUACUGUAGACACCUCAUAAUGUACUGCACCAUUAAACACUCUGCUACAUAGUCUACUACUGUAGACACCUCAUAAUGUACUGCACCAUUAAACACUCUGCUACAUAGUCUACUACUGUAGACACCUCAUAAUGUACUGCACCAUUAAACACUCUGCUACAUAGUCUACUACUG